rnacentral:rRNA from 1 species
UGGGGAAUCUUGCACAAUGGGGGCAACCCUGAUGCAGCGACGCCGCGUGAGCGAUGAAGCCCUUCGGGGCGUAAAGCUCUUUCGACCGGAACGAUAAUGACGGUACCGGGAGAAGAAGCUGCGGCUAACUACGUGCCAGCAGCCGCGGUAAUACGUAGGCAGCAAGCGUUGUUCGGAGUUACUGGGCGUAAAGAGUGCGUAGGCGGUUUUCUAAGUUCGGUGUGAAAUCCCCCGGCUUAACUGGGAGGGUGCGCCGAAGACUGGGAAGCUGGAGUGUGGGAAAGGCAGGCGGAAUUCCUGGUGUAGCGGUGAAAUGCGUAGAUAUCAGGAGGAACACCGGCGGUGUAGACGGCUUGCUAGACCAUAACUGACGCUGAGGCACGAAAGCGUGGGUAGCAAACA